CCCAUUUAAACGAAGACUCCAUAACCCCUUCACAACCAUUGAAAUCUCUGGAAACUUCUGAAAAUUUGAGCAGCGAGAAAGAUUGACAUCUCUAAGGCACUUGAGUUCCCAGAUGCCACAUGGAAGACUUUUAAGACCUCGGCAACCUUCUAGGUUCAAAGAUUCGACCCCGGAAAGAUUUAUAAUUGAUGAGGGAAGUUCUUUAAUUGCUGUCUUAUCUAAACAAAGGUAAGUGAACCCUUCUGUAACUUUUGAAAUCUCAGGAAACUUCUCAAAACUUGAGCAGCCAGAAAGAGAAACAUUUCUAAGAGACUUGAGUUGGCAGAUGCUGCUUGGAAGACUUUGAAGCCUUAGACAACCAUUUAGCUUCAAAGUAUUCAGCCCGGAAAGAUUUUCAAUUGACGAGGGUAGUUCCUGAAUUGCAGUCCCAUCUAAAUAAAGGCACCAGAGCUCUUCCAUAACUUCUAAAAUCUCUGGAAACUUCUCAAGAUUUGAGCAGCCAGAAAGAGUAACAUAUCUAAGGGACUUGAGUUGACAGAUACUGCUCGGGAGACUUUUAAGCUUCACGCAACCUUUCAAGUCCAAAGUAACAAGCUCUGUAAGAUUUUUAAUUGACGACGGCAAUUCUUCAAUUGCAGUCCCAUUUAAACGAAGACUCCAUAACCCCUUCACAACCAUUUGAAAUCUCUGGAAACUUCUGAAAAUUUGAGCAGCGAGAAAGAUUGACAUCUCUAAGGCACUUGAGUUCCCAGAUGCCACAUGGAAGACUUUUAAGACCUCGGCAACCUUCUAGGUUCAAAGAUUCGACCCCGGAAAGAUUUAUAAUUGAUGAGGGAAGUUCUUUAAUUGCUGUCUUAUCUAAACAAAGGUAAGUGAACCCUUCUGUAACUUUUGAAAUCUCAGGAAACUUCUCAAAACUUGAGCAGCCAGAAAGAGAAACAUUUCUAAGAGACUUGAGUUGGCAGAUGCUGCUUGGAAGACUUUGAAGCCUUAGACAACCAUUUAGCUUCAAAGUAUUCAGCCCGGAAAGAUUUUCAAUUGACGAGGGUAGUUCCUGAAUUGCAGUCCCAUCUAAAUAAAGGCACCAGAGCUCUUCCAUAACUUCUAAAAUCUCUGGAAACUUCUCAAGAUUUGAGCAGCCAGAAAGAGUAACAUAUCUAAGGGACUUGAGUUUGACAGAUACUGCUCGGGAGACUUUUAAGCUUCACGCAACCUUUCAAGUCCAAAGUAACAAGCUCUGUAAGAUUUUUUAAUUGACGACGGCAAUUCUUCAAUUGCAGUCCCAUUUAAACGAAGACUCCAUAACCCCUUCACAACCAUUGAAAUCUCUGGAAACUUCUGAAAAUUUGAGCAGCGAGAAAGAUUGACAUCUCUAAGGCACUUGAGUUCCCAGAUGCCACAUGGAAGACUUUUAAGACCUCGGCAACCUUCUAGGUUCAAAGAUUCGACCCCCGGAAAGAUUUAUAAUUGAUGAGGGAAGUUCUUUAAUUGCUGUCUUAUCUAAACAAAGGUAAGUGAACCCUUCUGUAACUUUUGAAAUCUCAGGAAACUUCUCAAAACUUGAGCAGCCAGAAAGAGAAACAUUUCUAAGAGACUUGAGUUGGCAGAUGCUGCUUGGAAGACUUUGAAGCCUUAGACAACCAUUUAGCUUCAAAGUAUUCAGCCCGGAAAGAUUUUCAAUUGACGAGGGUAGUUCCUGAAUUGCAGUCCCAUCUAAAUAAAGGCACCAGAGCUCUUCCAUAACUUCUAAAAUCUCUGGAAACUUCUCAAGAUUUGAGCAGCCAGAAAGAGUAACAUAUCUAAGGGACUUGAGUUGACAGAUACUGCUCGGGAGACUUUUAAGCUUCACGCAACCUUUCAAGUCCAAAGUAACAAGCUCUGUAAGAUUUUUAAUUGACGACGGCAAUUCUUCAAUUGCAGUCCCAUUUAAACGAAGACUCCAUAACCCCUUCACAACCAUUGAAAUCUCUGGAAACUUCUGAAAAUUUGAGCAGCGAGAAAGAUUGACAUCUCUAAGGCACUUGAGUUCCCAGAUGCCACAUGGAAGACUUUUAAGACCUCGGCAACCUUCUAGGUUCAAAGAUUCGACCCGGAAAGAUUUAUAAUUGAUGAGGGAAGUUCUUUAAUUGCUGUCUUAUCUAAACAAAGGUAAGUGAACCCUUCUGUAACUUUUGAA
rnacentral:lncRNA from 1 species